GCUGGGCAUGGUGGUGGGUGCCUGUAAUCUCAGCUUCUCGGGAGGCUGAGACAGGAGAAUCGCUUGAACCCGGGAGGCACAGGUUGCAGUGAGCUGAGAUCGUGCCACUGCACUCCAGCCUGAGUGACAGAGCGAGACUCUGUCUCAA
rnacentral:sRNA from 1 species